AUUAAGCUUGGCUCUGACUUAGCUGUAUAAUAUAGAACUAAAGAAUACACAUGGUAUUUAUUGAAAGGGGCGAGGUAAAAAGGGUGGUAUUUAAUUAUUAUGAAUGAUUGUCUAUUUCUUUUUUAGGGUAUUAUAGAUCUAUAUAAUGCCUUGAAAGGUCCCGCUAACACCAGUGCUGAAGGUUAGUAAAAGAGCGAAAGCCCGAACUAAUUUAGUUCAUAAAGCCUGGUCAACUAGGUGCCAGCAUCCGCGGUUAAACCAAGAAGGCUAAGUUAUACUUUACGGUAAAAAGACAGUUAAGUUGAUCUUUAAGUUUUAUUAAUAUAUAUAUAAAGGUAGAAUUUGAACAUAUGUCUAUGAUUUCAUAAAAACUUUAGAACUGAAGCUGUGAUAGCUUUGAGGGAAACUGGGAUUAGAUACCCCAUUAUUCUUGGCUGUAAAAAAAUAUAAAUUUACCAGAGUACUACGAACCAAAAAGUUUAAAACUCAAAGGGCUUGGCGGUGUUUUAGACCUCUUAGGGGAACCUGUCUCAUAAUCGAUAAUCCACGUUAAACCUAACUUCUUUUUGUAUUCAGUAUGUAUACCAUCGUCGUCAGGUAACUUUUAAAAAAUCAGAAGUUAGCCAAUAAGCUGUAUAAGCUAAAACGUCAGAUCAAGGUGCAGUCUAUGAAGGAGUGAGGAUGGGUUACAAUUAUUAAAUCAUAAAUACGAAAUAGUUAAAUGAAUAAAUAACUAUGAAGGAGGACUUAAAAGUAAACUGGAUUAUAUAAACAUAUUGAAUUGGGCUCUGAAACGUGCACACAUCGCCCGUCGCUCUCGUUGAAAAAUGAGAUAAGUCGUAACAUAGCAGGGGUAAUGGAAAUUGUUCCUAGAUAAAA
rnacentral:rRNA from 1 species